rnacentral:tmRNA from 2 species
GGGGGCGUCACGGUUUCGACGGGGAUCAUUGAGGUGAGGGCUGCGUGCCGAGGUUCCGACUGGGCUCGUUAAAAAAGUCGGGCUAAAGAUAAGCGCAAACACAAACUACGCUUACGCCACUGCUUAAUUGACAGUGACCGUUCCUCCGGUUCUUUCCUGAAGGGCCAAAAGGAGCGUCGACAAAUCAGGAUAGCUUACCGCCGAAGCUUAUAAGCGGGAUGCGAAAAUUUUUAAGCUGGUCCCUCCCGAAUCCUGCCGCGGGAGUCGGAGGGGACGAGAUUCAAUUCAACGGCUAAGCACGUAGAUGCUCCUUGCUGAAGGUUUUCGGACGCGGGUUCGACUCCCGCCGCCUCCACCA